rnacentral:rRNA from 1 species
UACGAAGGGGGCUAGCGUUGCUCGGAAUCACUGGGCGUAAAGCGCACGUAGGCGGAUCGCUAAGUCAGGGGUGAAAUCCCAGGGCUCAACCCUGGAACUGCCUUUGAUACUGACGAUCUGGAGAUCGGGAGAGGUUGGUGGAAUUCCGAGUGUAGAGGUGAAAUUCGUAGAUAUUCGGAGGAACACCAGCGGCGAAGGCGGCGCUCUGGGGCCGGAACUGACGCUGAGGAGCGAAAGCGUGGGUAGCAAACAGG